ACAUGGAGGCCCCUGCAGGUCCUGGGCUCUGGAUAACCUCAGCUUGCCGUCCCGGCUGAUUCUGCGUCGCUGCCAUCCAACAUGACACCUUAACGGUUAGCGCUGUCAGCGAGCGGCUGCAGCGUUUCCACUCUGAAGCGUCGCCUGGGAAACGGACGUGACAGCAGGAGCAGCUGGACCUCUGACGGUCCGCACACCUUUCACUGGGCGCUUUACUUCCACACAUGAAAUGAAUUAAGUGGAAACGCUUUCAGAGGAGCGUUUUGCCUUCAUCUCCAGAGAAUCUGAAUUUCUCUGCUGAUUCUGUGGGUUUUUACAGUCAUUUCUCCUGCUUCGGAUUUGCUGCGCAGGUGAAGCGUGGAGCAGUGAGGAAGCUGACAUUUGGACCAGUAAACACCCAGAGCCCAGCAGUGUGGAGGCUGAGGUGACUCUGGUGGAUUAUAAUGAGCUUAUCUGGAUCUUCAAAGAGCUUCUUAAAGGGAUAACGCUGAUAAACCGCAGAGGAAGAGUGGACCUCACAGAGAGAGGAGGCUAAUCCAGGCAGCAUGCUGCUCACAGAGCCGUGACACAGAUCGGAUCCCUCUGCGAAUCCAGCCUGGGGGAACGCUGCACACGUUCUCCCUCCGUGUCACACUGACCUCCAUUUUCAAACGCUUCAGCCUCGGCAGACACAAUGAGCGAGCAGCUGCGACACACACUGCUGCUGCUGCAUCAGCUCUCUGGCUCUGAUUAAAGGCCUGCAGCUUCAAAACGCAGGCAGCUUGAAGGAACUCGUAUCUUUUCCUACAUGUUUCAGGAAAUGCAACUCAAACCUGAAAUACAGUGUAAAAACAUGAACUGCUGCUUCAGACUGUCUCCUGUUUUAUUUCCGUUUGGCUCCACAGUGGAGCAGCUGGCGGCAGCAAGAAGGAUUAUUGUUGUAGCUGCUCACAGAGCUCAUUUUGAUUAAUUAACUCCAUAGAAUUUAAACUGGUUCAUUUUUCUAACAGAAUCACUUUUAUCCCUGCAAAGAUUCAACCCAGAACCUUUGCACUGCGUUUCUGGUACGACCGUAAAUCUGAUGCACAAGCUAACAUCUGCUAACAGACGACAAAGCUGCUUCUCUCAGCGCAUCGGGGGUUAAUUCCUGCUUCUAAACGACCUGAUUGGUCGCUGGGAAAGACUGUUGUGUUUAAGUUGUGCUAAAAGCCAUCAGAGAAACUAUUGAAAUCUAAAAUAGCAUCUCAAUGCUAACAUGUAGCAGCUAGCGUUAAAGUUAGCGUCCACAUUUCUGAAGAAACUCCAUGAAGGAUCAGGACCUGAAAUUGAGAAAGUUGCUUAUUUUGCCUGGUUUCCAUUUAAAAUGUAAUUAAUGGUCAUAAAAAUAUAUUCUCAAAUGACUUUACCUUGUAAUAUAAUUUAAUUUUUUAGCGUGGCGCUAACACCCCGCUGUAGGACAUGUAGCAGUUUGGUUUGGACAGCUCAGCACUGUGGUUCAGCAGUUCAGAUGAAGGACGGUGCGCCCCCUCCCUGUUUCUGAAUGGAAGCGGCGCCGUCGCGUCCAGCCGGCUGAUCUAAGGCGAGUUUGUUUCACCGAGCAGCAGCAGGCGAGCGCAGGAUGGGCAGGAAAACUGGAGCAGAAAAUCUGGCCCAACCCCACAAACACACACGAAUAAAAACACUGGAAGAGAAACGAGAGGAAGCCGAGGGAACAAUGAGCAGCCUGAGACGUUCACAGAUUCCUCUUUCCAAGAACAUCCAAAACAAGAAUCACUGGAAGUAUUUUCUUUCCACAUUCUCAGUCUGAGCCGACAGAGCUGCAAGUGGAAGUUAAAACAGCGUAGCCAGCAUAAACGGCACCAUCUGUGGAAAUUGGUACUGGUCCCCAGUGUGGAAGCUAGCAGCAGGACCAGUGGCUACGUCUAUUUUUGUCCAACAAACAUUCCUCAGUCUGGAGAAGCUUCAUGAGGCUGACGUCAUCCGUCAGGAUUAAAACAGAGAAACAAGGUAAACGCUGACGACUGGAUUCUUUUAAAAUAACGUCGAUAUUUAAAGCAGGUCACCAAAAAUGCAGGAAAAGCCUUCAGAGUGCAGGAAAGAUGAAUUAUUUUCAUCUGCAGCCGUUGUUUAACUGGAUCCUUCUGUUUAUGAUGCACGUCUCACAGCAAUAACGAAAAUGUUGGAUAAAAUUUAAAAUUUCCGUUCAGACUGCAGACACCAUCAGAUAUUGUAUUUAAAACCACUGGUGGAAGUAACAAAUCAGAGUUUUGGGGGGUUGAAAUCUGUCAAACUGUGACGCUCGGGAUCUCGUCUCCAGCAACCGUUGGAAACCGUUUCGUGACGGAGACUACAGGAGGACGAAGCUGGACAGAGACAGACAGACAGACAUCUGGGGAUCUUUGCUUGAGCUGCUGCCUUCAUCAUGUUGGCAGGACUUCCUCCCUCAGACGUGACCUUUGGCUCUGGGGUUAAACUGCCGGCCUGCCAGGUGGAACCAGUUUACGUCGACCUGGUCGUGUUUCAGAGUCUGUUGGUCGGCCUGUAAACGUCGCGCUCCGACCUCGCCGUGCCGCUGCCACCUUCUCCGUUUGGGCUUUCAGGCGAGGAGCGGGACGGACUGCCCGUCUGGCAGCAGAACGAAGGUCAAACUGCCGCCGCCGCAAUAAAACACUCCUGAACACUUAAUGUGACCGUGAAUGAAAAGAGACCUUGGAGAAAGAAAACUCAGCUUUUGCUUUUUAAAACAAACCCAAAGCAGAUUUUUCUCCACGUCUCCAGUUUAUCUCACCGAGUCGGUACCGGACAUUUUUAUUAAAAAAUAAACCCUCUGAGGGUGAAAAAGCAGAUUAAAUGAGAAGAUUUUGUUUUUUUCUCAGAGCAAAAGCAGAAAGCAUUUUUGAAAUCGCAGCUUUUCCUGUUGAAACGUUUCGUCUUCCAGCUGCUGCUGCACAAUCAGCCAUGAACGAGGAAAACAGUUUCUCCUGCUGGUUUUCUGAGCUUCUGGAUCUUUAAACGUUUCAUCUGGUUAAAUCUCUCCAGGUAACUUGACCACCUUCACCUGUGAGCUGAGAAAAGCUCCAGAUUUACUGAGGAUCUAAUGCAGAGCAGCAAGAAGAUCCUGGAUUUAAGAUCCGUCUCUUUGUGUGCGUGAACUAUUCAACCCGUCCAAAACAAAACCGUUCAUUAGUCCGUUAUUGGCCUUAUAAAUCCGUUCACAGAUUAACAUGAGCUGCACAUAAAUAUUUACCAAUCACUACAUUAGAAGGAACCAAUCAGCAUAAGACCUGCUUUUAUCUCAGCUGGAUUUGUAAGAGUAGACAAAACGUUAAAACAAGAAAAGUGGAUUUUGUCUGUGAAACCAAGUUGUCUUGAUGCCAAAAGUCUUUAUAACAGAGUAAAUCUGGUGACUGAAUAUAAUCUGGAUUGAUAAAACCGUAUUCCCUCUUCAGUCUGAUCUCCAUCGUUCAUCCUGAACAUCAGCCUGAAGGUUCAACGCUUCCUGCUGCGUCUCCUGCAUGAACCCGGUCCAAUCGGAUCCCAGAUGGUUUUCUGGGAUGCCACAGAAAACAAUAGGUUGACUUAUGCAAAAACCCUCGAUGAGAAAGGUUUGAAUUUGUAUUCUGACAUGAUGAAUCCGUAGGGCAGAAAGAAAUCACAGAGUAAUUAUCGUCCUCGUUAGGAAGAGUCAACCUGUCUGGAUGCUGUUGGUCCAUAAAUAGCAGCCGAACCCUCUGAGGACUGAAGUCCUCUGGGAAAUCAUGCUGCUCUGGGAAUAGAAAGUGGAGCGUGUCCGCUCAAAAACGGCACAAAAACGGCUCAAAAACGGCACAAAAACGGCACAUCUCUUCCUGGAAAAACAACAAUCUAAUUACUCAGAGUGAAGAAUCUCCAAGAGCAGCAGACCAAACCAAUCAGCAACGAUGGAUUCUUUCCAGGAGCUGCAGGACUCUGGCGUCAUGGCAGGUUUCCUCACAGACUUGUUUUUAGCUGCGGCAUGAUAACGAUGAGUUCACAAACCCAUGAAAACCUGCAGGACAGACUGAUGGAGCAACAAGGCCUGGGGGUGAAGUGGCCAGCAUGUCGGCUGCUGAACUUUUCUUAGAAAGAAUCUAGAAAUUAGAAUCACUCAGUAAUUCCUUCAGUCCUGAUUUAAAGGACUGAACAGAUCCUGAACAUCUCAGGUUUUCAUGGAGUUGAUUCCAGAUCAUCAUCCACAAACUGUUGCUCCUGCUUCUUCAGUCGGCCAUGUUGGUUUACUCUGAACUCUCGUUUUAUCUCGAGAUGUUUUGUGAGAUUUCUGGUCUGGUCUCCCUUCGUUGGCGUGUGUGUGUGUGUGUGUGUGUUGCUCCAGUUUUAAAAACUUGUCGUAUUGGUUCAUAUUCAAUAAGAAACUCUGUCACUUAAAUCAAUAAAAUGAUUUUAAAUUGAUCUGUUUGCGUACACAGAGUCGCUGCAUGUUUUGGUCAAAUUUCCUGCUUUAAGAAGCAGCCAGUACUUUUCUGUAUCUGCAGUUAGAAGUUUGGUUUUCUGGUUUCCUCGGUCGCUCAGUCUCGCUGGCUGCUGAUCUAACAUCACAAAAAUGUUCAAAACCAAAAAUACGUACUUCUGCUUUUUCUGCAUUAACUCUAAAAUGAGUUCAGACUUACUCAGUUGUUAUUUAUGGUACGAACACGCUGACUCAGUGAGCAGGAUGUGUAAUCAUCAUCAUCAGCAGAUGCGUGUUGAGACUCUAUGAGUCUGAGGAUGCAGCUGUGGAAUAAAAGUGUCACGAGAACACAGCCUUGAGGAACGCCACAUGAUCGACGCUCACUCAGGUUUAGAACUGACACAGAGAUGAGACUUAAAAACAUUAUCCCUCAGGUGGAAAACUUCAGUAGUUUAUUUUUUAAAUUUUAGGCCAAGGUGAGGUUUGUAACCGAUCUCAAAAGGAAAAUGAAAAUCAUGCAGUGACGGAAAUUUCAUGUCGAACCGAAACAUUUUAUUUUAACUGUUCGGGUGAUAAGAGCAGCGAGUUCAUUAACUAUUCGUGUCAAUGUUAUUUUAUCUGAAAUAUGUGCCCGACUAUAACCAUGUUUCAUUUAGUUUAACUAUAUGUAAAUAACAUCUAUAACAUGAUGAGAUGAUUUUUACCUAAUUGAGUCUUAAUGUGCUUCCGUACGUUUCGUUCCGUUAACCAGAUUAUGACCAGUAGUAAUUUCCAAAUUUCCCUCCACUUCUUCUUUUUCAGGCUCAUCGUGUAAAAUACUUUCCACCAUUUUACAUAAAGACUGACGCCGAUUCACACCGAAGCUCAAACCUUAUUUACUUCUGAUCCGUUUGGCCUGACAGGAAAUGACCAAAACGAAGAGGCGCCAAAUAAAAUAUUCACCCAAACUGCAGACUCAGAUAUUCUGUCUGCGCUGACCGACCACCGGCUCUGAACCGUCCCGUCACCGACGCGUCCUCAGCUCACAGUCAGCCCGGCGGAUUGGACGUGGCAGGCGUCCACUGUCCCCAGCCACAACAGAGACGCAGGCAGAGUGAGACAAAGCGGCAGAGCAGGAGUCAGCGGCGGCGCGAGGCGAGGCGAGGCCGGGACGGAGUCUGAACUCCAGAUGACCCCAGAACACCGGCGGGUCAGAGCCGAGACGGGCAUCAGCCGACACCACAGAGCAGGAUUGGAGGACAGCGCGCUGUCUGGACGGGACGCUGGACAGAAGAGUCCAAAUGUUUUGGAACAUGAACCCAAAUCUAAACUCAGGAGGAUUUGUGGCUCCUCCCACCGCCUCCUGAUCCUGAUCCCUCCUGAUCCUGAUCCCGGCCCAGACUCACCAAGGGAAGGAAUCCAGCUCAGAGAUCUGCUGACUCCGUCUCUGCGCCGUUUGAGAUUCGCUCAAAGAGCGGCGAGCGGCCUGGCAGCUCCUCCAGACUCCCGGUGAAGAGAGAGAAGAAGAAGAAGAGACGGCCGUUCAUCAUCAGGCUGAGUUGAGCUGCUGUCGCUGCUUAAACGUCUCCGUUCAGAGAAACGAGGCUCAUUCAGCUGCACUGCUAGCCUGUUACAGCUCUGAGCCUCAUGGAGAGAAAGCUGUAAAUUAAUCAGAACUAGAACUCAUUUAUGCAGAUUAACUCUGUUUUAUGCAACGUUGCUGUCAGACGUGGUGAAUCUGGUCUUUAGUGGCUCACUGACAUAUUUCCACACCAAAGGAAAUAACUCAUUUUAAAGCUUUAGAAAAUGAAAUCAUGAUUGAAACUCUGUAAAACUGAACAUUGCAACUAAACCUUUCAUUUAUGAAUUCUGUCAAACAUUUUCUUUAGCAAAUAAAAGUGGAUCAGAACAGAGUCCCUGAGACAAAAUGGCUGCUGCACUGUGGAUGUCUGCAGAGUUUAAAUGGAUGUUAAUAUCUAUGAUUCCCUCUGAUUUACUGAAUCAGAAAAAUCCUGCCGUUCAUUUUUAACUCCUGCAUAAAAGAAAUAAAUCAGAGAAGCUGCAGCUCCUCUUCUGGUUUGUGAGCAGGAGGAGUUCAGAGGGAGAACGAGGGCCUCAGCUCAGCCACAGGUCAUGUUUCUAAGAGAAAGCAUUGAAUCUGAGUUUAAUAUGCCGGAAACGCGCCUCGGGUGCCGGGUCCUCAGGAAGACACAUGAGAUUUGAUUGGCUAUUAAAGCUGUGAGUUAUCAGCUCAGCCUUUCGGAUGGAGCCGCCGCGCUCCAGCAGGGGGCGCCGGCGGGUCGGGCCUCCAUCUGCCCCUUCAGCAGGAGGCUGAGUGGAUGUGGGCUGCAGCGGAGCGGAGCUGGACUCGGCCCGCCUCAUCCACCGGGACGCAUAUCAGAUAAUGUCGCUUUCAGUCUGAGCUGUAAUUUCCUGGAAGACGAGGCGCGAUGUGACAGAUGGCGCUCACGGGGAAAGAGGACAUGACGCAUCGGCGCCGAGGCGUCGCUGGUUCGGAGCGCGGUCCAUCCGAACCAGCGCGGUCCAUCCGGCUGCACGCUUACCGAAGGUAACGCUCCAGAUCGCAGAGCCGGGGGUCACCGUAGUGCUGAACUGACCAGCCGCUUGAUGGGCAGAUGAAAUGUCUUAAAAUGGAGGCCAGCUCUUUAAAUUAAUAUUCAGUUUAAUGCACAGCAGGUUCAUCAAACUCAUUUUCAUUUAGUGCUGAAUCUAGAUGAUGAAUCACUCGGAGCUGCUGCUGCAGGUCGUACUGAUAAAACUUCCUGUUAAACUGUAAAAACGUUAAUUCUUAAAACAAAAGAAUUAAAUCUUUUUACAUUUUUGUAAUCUGGUUCUACAUAAAUAAAAGCUGAACUGAAUCGACUAAUAAAAUACACAAUAAUUAUCUCAGAGUUUCAUUCCUGUGUCCCUCUGAUGCAUCGAUGGACACAUACGUAGCUUUAGCGGCCUGGUUUUGGCCCGAGAGCCUCGAGUUGGACACCGUGGUGAAAUGGAUCCUUUCUGGUUUGUCAGGUUUUGCUUCUUCAUCACUGUGAUGUUUCUCUGCUCCUAGUUUUUUGACACUUGCAGUAAAAGCUGAAUAGUUGACAGUAAACUGAAGCCGCCAUGAUUAGCUGAUACAUGUAGCAUUAACCAAACUUUACCUCAUUAUUCAUCUGUAAUAAGAUGCUUAUUACAGCAUCUUAUAACGCUGUAAUAAGAUGCAUGACUUUCACAUUUCGUUAAACGUAUUUUGCGAUAAACGAUGCCCGUCUGCAGUUUCAUUUUAAUUUUCUGUCCGUUUGUUAAAAACGUCCUGCAAGCAGAUAAUCUGACCGAAUUAUUCGUGGAUUCGUUUCUACUGGUUAACCAUUUCGUUUUUGGGUCAAAGGUCAUGAUUCUUACCCGAAUAGAAUCAAGAAGUUCUUGAAAUAGAAACUGACUGACAACAGGAAGCAGGCAGAAAAAGGCAGAAAUUCAUGUCUGAAUGUAAAGAAACCCAAGAACAGAUGAAGCAACUUUACUGCCAUCCGUCAGGCUGGAAGGUGAUGAAAUCAUUCCUGAGGUUUGGGGCCCCUGAGGGCCACAGCAGGGGCCAAACAUCACCCACACAGAGGAGAACCGAGGAAAUGGUCUACAGCCAAAACCUCAGCUGAACAAAAACUGACAUAAACUAAAUGUUGGUCAUCAACAGUCAAACAUGAUGGUGGUUAGAGACGUUGAGCUCAGAGAAUUUGGGUUUUACAGGAGGAAAAUGAUCCAAAGUUCACCAGCAGGUCCGUCUCUGAAUCUCUCCAAAUAUAAAGAAGAAACGGUGCAGAUGUUGGACUGGUCUAGUUAAAGUCUGGACAGGUUAUUCAUGCUUAAAAACCCUCUAAUAUGGCACAGGUUCAAACUUCCCCCAGGGCUCAGAGACUCAUCAGUUUCUGUUUUCUACCAGUUAUUAGUUAUGGAUUUCUACGUCAGGUUGGUUUAGAAAACUUUUAAUAAAUGUGAAUUUUCCUCCAUUUAUCAAAAUAUGUGAACAGAAGCAAAUUGUUGGAGGGAGAAAACUGACAGAGCUGCGUUUGAAAUAUUUCUGUUCCUGCAUGAGAAUCCAAGUCUGAGGAUAUUUAUGGUGCAUGAGGCGAAACGAUCCUCUGCAGGGAGUUAAAAAAGAAAAGCAACAAAUUUAACUCACUUUUAAAAAAUAUGUUGAUUCUUAUUCAAAUAUAUAAACCAACUUGAAGGUUUCUGGUUCCUGUCCAGUCACAGCCUCAGCCAUCUUUACCCCCCUCUGCACUCUGACCAUAUUCAGCUGAAACGCCACCAAAAUAAACAUUCAAAAAAGUUUCAAACGGGAAACCGAAGCCUCAGAGUUCCUCAUUCCUGCCAGUCCGACACGCAGCGCCGACACCGAAGCCCCAUCAUGCAGCCUGGAGGCUCAUCAGCUUUAAAACACCG